rnacentral:lncRNA from 1 species
UUACGUAAUCCCUUGCACAGUCCGCACAGUUUGUUUUGUAAUGUUUCGGGGAAGGAUAUCAAACUUGUGAUGAGGGUGACUAGACUUCCAUCGGUUCCUUUUUAAUUAGAUCGACAGGGGAUCUUCUUAGUUAGGCCACCAAGGAGUCCUUUCAGCUAUAUCAUCACAUGAUAUCCCUAAUUUUUGGAUGAAUCUGUUUAGCUAGACCACUCAAGGGGUCUAAUUAUGAAGUAGUACUUUAUAAUCCGAGGGACUUAACUAUAACAUAGAAGUCCAUUGAGGAUUUUAAGUAAUACCUUUGGGCAUCCUACUAUGAAUCUCUUGUACACGGAUAUGUAAGAUUCUACGAAGAUUUGGAUAACAUAAUUUGGAUCACACAACAAUACAUAAGGAAACACAUAAGCACAUAGUCACAUAAUUGUUUAAUUUGAUCAUAAUUUGUUAUUAACUUGUUAUCGAUUGAAUACGGAUAUGGAAACCUGUCGACGGAUCUCAAUGUUCACUGGAAUCUAUCUGAGAAGAUAGAAAGAUCUCCCAAAAUUCGAUUUUUGAUUACAAGGAAUCACCACAUUCGAAUGAAGGUAUACAACAAUUAAAGACUUACGGGAAAUUCCUAGGUACCCUAUUAAGGAUUUAUAGUGGUACCUUGGGUAUUCGUCUUGUGUUGUAACCUGCG